GACGAACGCUGGCGGCGUGCUUAACACAUGCAAGUCGAACGGUGAACGAGGGAGCUUGCUCCCUCCGGAUCAGUGGCGAACGGGUGAGUAACACGUGAACAAUCUCCCCCGAAUUCGGGGAUAAGCUUGGAAAACGACGUCUAAUACCGGAUACGACCCGGAGGGCCAUCCUCUCCGCGUGAAAGGAACUGCGUUUGGGGAUGAGCUCGCGGCCUAUCAGCUUGUUGGUGAGGUAACGGCCCACCAAGGCGACGACGGGUAGCCGGCCUGAGAGGGUGACCGGCCACACUGGGACUGAGACACGGCCCAGACUCCUACGGGAGGCAGCAGUGGGGAAUAUUGCACAAUGGGCGCAAGCCUGAUGCAGCAACGCCGCGUGAGGGACGACGGCCUUCGGGUUGUAAACCUCUUUUAGCAGGGAAGAAGCGAAAGUGACGGUACCUGCAGAAAAAGCACCGGCUAACUACGUG
rnacentral:rRNA from 1 species